GUCUGUCUGUCUGUUUCUAUGCGCACUAGUCUCAUGAGAGAGUCAUAACACUUUUCCGAAGUCCCUCUUUCUGCUGUUUGCAGUACAUAUGUCGGUUACGGCUGCAUCGGACAACUAUAUCACAACAGACAUAAAAACGAUCGGUCUGAGUAUAGAUUCUUGAAUGAAAAACGAUUUUGUUUAUUAAGAUAUCUCGACCAAACUCGACAUUAACUAUUUUCUCUGUGCUUCUUAGAAACAAGAAAAGAAGAGAAAGCAGAAAAAAGAUAAGGUUGGAUCUGCUAGGGUAUUAAAUCUUCGGGGUGCCGAAGAUAGCCCUUAUUUUUUGUUUUUCAACUAGACGCGAACCUUGAAAAGGGCAAAUCUGGGUAAUAUCGAUUAGUAUAUGUAUAAACCUAGUCUGUGUUUAACCAACUAAUCCGCUGGAGGUUUAAUUCAUAGCAAAUUCUAGGCCCAAACCUGGUCGGUGUCAAACCGACUUUCUAUACAUGAAUACAUGAAUAGAUUUCGAUUCGGUUUAAAAAGUAAAUUCUUAUCCAUCACGACUUGUUUUUUCAUUUUGUUGUUCCAGAUUGUGAAUAAAUCUAAAUCGAUUUUAAAUCGAUAUCAAAUUGUUUUGAAAACAGAUCAGUUAAAUUUGGAUGGAUUCUGUGAUAUGUGUACUAUAUAAAGGUUCGUCUCCCGCCUUCAAAUAGAUGACGAUCAAAUAAUCCUACAGCUUUGGAAUAACUUAAUGCAUAUGAAAGAGUCGUACUCCAGUUUCAACUACACUCUUUAGCUGUCUAAAAAGCUGCACUGUCUCAAAAACGUUUUUACCAAGGUA